AGUGCAAAAGUUGAACGGAAUUGGCGGAAUGCAACCACAAGGUGUGGAGUAUGUGGUUUAGUUUGACUCAACAUGAGGAAUCUUACCAGGUCAGGGCGUAGCUAGGAGUCGUAUGAUAGUUGCAGUACACUUUGUUCUAGGUUCUAAGUAUUGCAUGG
rnacentral:rRNA from 16 species